GACGAACGCUGGCGGCGUGCCUAAUACAUGCAAGUCGAACGCUUCCUACCGGUGCUUGCACCGGGAAAGAAGAGUGGCGGACGGGUGAGUAACACGUGGGUAACCUACCCACAAGCGGGGGAUAACAUUCGGAAACGGAUGCUAAUACCGCAUAGAUCUUUUUGUCUCCUGGCAGAAAGAAGAAAGACGGUUUCGGCUGUCACUUGUAGAUGGACCCGCGGCGCAUUAGUUAGUUGGUGAGGUAAUGGCUCACCAAGACGAUGAUGCGUAGCCGACCUGAGAGGGUGAUCGGCCACACUGGGACUGAGACACGGCCCAGACUCCUGCGGGAGGCAGCAGUAGGGAAUCUUCCGCAAUGGACGAAAGUCUGACGGAGCAACGCCGCGUGAGUGAAGAAGGUUUUCGGAUCGUAAAACUCUGUUGUUAGAGAAGAACAAGGAUGAGAGUAACUGCUCGUCCCUUGACGGUAUCUAACCAGAAAGCCAUGGCUAACUACGUGCCAGCCGCCGCGGUAA
rnacentral:rRNA from 1 species